GGUGCUCUAAUGUAACUUCCGUAAACACAGAGACGCUCGCUGCGGUUGACGUCGUCGUGUCUCCAGUGUCACAUGUGGGACAUUUUGGGUCGUUUAAUGUUCACACUGGAGUCACAUAUAAGUCACAUUUAACUGGAAAUGUGAACGACCACACAAAAACAUCGGAUUUCACAAAAAAAGCCGAAUUGAGUGUUAAGUCCUACAGUCUGAACGUAGCCUAUGAGUGCGUUUACAUGCGCUCAAGUAUCACGGUUAUGAUCGGGUUUCCUCGUUAUGUGAGUGUCCAUGUAGAUGCAGUAUCCUGAUUUCAGUUUCCAGGAUGUGCCAGUAUCCCAGUUAUGAGAAACCAGGAUCCUCUCACAGGGAUUUCUCAAAGUAUCCAGGAUACUGAUAUCCUGGUUUAUAAGCCAGUUUCACUUCGUGGAAACCGUCUGACCUUGCAGCAUUAGGAUUCGUUCGCUCAAUGUAGGCGGGUACUUUUUUAAUUUAAUCGCUGCUAUUUGGUUGUGAUGUAUGUAAUGUGCCACAAACGGGGGAUAACUGGUAUAUUAAGCUUUUCCCAAAUCCCGUAGGAAGAAGCACAAUAACGUCUUUCCCCUUGAUGAAAUUCAACAAACAUUCUUUUUGUUCCCGAUUUAAAUCCUCGAUUGAAUCGUUGCCAACACAGAAUGUCUGUCUCUUCGCUGAUUGGUCGGUGCUCAAACUCACACUUUCAGGUUUUUUUGUAAACCGUCUAGUGUUUUCUGAUUCCUGAACUAGUCGCUGGAGAAAAAUGAAGUUGAGCGGAGGCACUAGGUGGCGCCUGCCUGGCCAGGAUCCUGAGGCCUGUAGACGCAGUAUCUUGAUUUUUCACAACCUGUGCUGUACUGAGCAUGUGCGAACUCAAGUAACAAAAACAGUAGGAGCUCUUACUUUCCUAAAACGUAAUAAUAUUUUAUACUCACUUGAUCCAUGUUUAGUUUCUUGCCAUAUCUGUGCCAUAUUUGUGACGGCAAAUAUCCCGGAUACUCUGAUGUGGCGUGUGCAGAGAGAUAAGAGUGUCCGGGAUUCUCUGAGCGCAGGGAAACACCAGAUCCAGGAUACGGCCAUAACCAAGAUAAGGCUCAUAACUGAGAUAUUGAUGCGCAUGUAAACGCACUCAUUUACCUUUCACCCAAACUCUCCCGAACUCCGUCUGGACUCAAACAGGCUCAGAUCUAAAGUGAUUAAUGCAACAUGUUUUUCCAACUAUCGCUUGUAGUAAUGAAACGGUUUGUAGUUUGUGCUUUAGCAGUAAAAAAAACACAAAAAAAUACAAUCACAACUGAACCUGGGUUACGAGUGCCUUAAUGUGGAAGCUCAGAACCUCGGGAAUUCACUCUCUGAGCUGCAGCGGCUGCACUGGCACUGAUUUACGAUUGGUGCAGGAGCUGGAGUUUAGAGAAUGAAUAUUCAGAUCAGAAAGAGGCAUUUUAAACUAACUGGAUUUCAACACAAAUGAGAGAGUCGUGUGAGGCUCAUUCUGCUUUCUGAUAAUAACCGUGUCGAGCACCAGGAACUCCAAAUUAUUCACCGAACUCUGGAAGUUGUGUUGGGCGUCACAAUCACCAUUUGGGUUUUUAUUUUGCACCAGUCUGCCAAUUUUAACAACAAAUACUACCACGAAGAAGAGCACAGAAUAACAUCAAUAAAUAGGAAAUCUUAUCAAUAUUUUCAAUAUUUUUGUAAUUAACAAUAAAUCAUCGUCACAAUUCUUUUACUGACCACAGUCCGUGUAUCGUUCCUUCAUUAGUUUUUUCAAAAUAAAACCAAAAAUAAGAAAACAAACCAAAAAAAAAAAUAAUAAUUUUCUACAUUAUUUUUCUCCAUAACCAAAAUGAAUAAACAGAUAACGGCCGUUUCCCAUUUCUGAAACUUAAACUGCGAUGCCGGACUUUUGCACCGCAUACGGACUAAACCAGGUCUAAACCAGGAAUAAAUCAGGACUAAACCAGGUCUAAACCAGGAAUAAAUCAGGACUAAAACGGAACUAAACCAGGUCUAAACCAAGAAUAAAACAGGACUAAAACAGGACUAAACCAGGAUUAAAUAAGAACUAAACUAGGACUGAGUGUCAGGACGGGCCCGGAGCGCCCACGUACAAUGUCGGGUGAUCAGGACUGAGACUGGAACUAGACUGGGACCAGACCGGGACUGAGACCAGUUUUAGUCCUGGUUCAGUCCAGCAUCGCAGUUUAAGUCACGGAAACAUAAACACAAAAUUGAAAACUGAAAAAACAAAUCUUUAUCCAUUUUUCAUUUUGGUUUUAGAGACAAAUAAUGAAGAAAACAGUUGCUUGUUUUUUCGUUUUCUUAUGUUUGGUUUUAUUUUGAAAAACGAACGAACAAAUGACACAUGGACUGACCACAUCCGCUCCUUUGGCUGUGACGAUUUUAUGAAAGUGAAAUCAUGUACAGUUUCACCGUCCACUGCAACAAAACGAAAACCUUGCCUCUUUAUUCAACGAAAACAAAAACACCAAACAUGUCAAAGGUUUUAUAACGUCAUAUAAUUGAAGUGUAAAGUUCUAGAGGCAACGAACGAAGUGUGAAUGAUCUGAAGACGUCCGUGACUCUGCCCCCUACUGACGAAAUGUGAAAUUAUGUUUUACGAUUUGUAUUUUUUACUGUUCUGACCCGGCCGCCGUAUGAAGAAGGCUGGUGGUAAUUCAAUGAUUUUAUGUUGUCCAAUGUGAAACUACCUAAGACGCCAUUUUGAGAUUCAAACCUGCACUGUAACUGUAACAUUCUGCAAGAUUAAAACCUUUAUUUUGAGAUAAUA